AAGUUCCGGAAGUCAGUCAGGCCUCGAAAGUCAAGUUCCGGAAACUGGCCUUGCAAUCAUUAGGUGGAGAUAUUGUUUGUUCUGUGCUCAGAUUUGUCAUCCUCCUUAAAUUCAAAGGAGAUAGAAGCUGCAAUACUUGUCAGAGUUUAGGGGUGAUUGGAAAGGAAUUUUAAGAAUCCGUUAUUAUGUUUCAGACAGCAGCAGCCUCCCUCAUGAUGCGGAAGGCAACGUGGGAGGGAAACCCUCCGGGGCCUGAUUCAGCUUGGCAAGCGUGAGAGGACACCCGAUGAACUUCUCGGAGGUAUCCAGAAAAGACCAGACCCAAACCCAGACAGAAUCUUCUUUUCAUGUUGGUGGAUGGCGGUGGGGAGGAGUAGGCACAUGCGUCCAGUCCUAGGCAUUCCAGAGAUUAAAAACACAGGAGCAGAGGAGGAAAACUGGAGAGGUUUUAAACAUCAGAAAAUGUCCGCAUGGGCUAUUACAGAGUCUUUGGUGGAGGUGGAGAGAGUCCCUGCGCAACCCCUUCCCUGCUGCCAGCCAGCCUCAUCGUAAAGGGACUUGAGAGCAGCCAAGGGGAGGAGUAUUUACAGGUCUGGCAUUGGCCAAGAGGCGGAGGCGAGCAGGAUGAGCAGGAUGCAGCUUUCUUUCUGGGCCUUGCAUUUCACAGUGAGGAUUUUAACACUAAUCCUGGUAAAGCCUGCAUAUCAGCGGAGAGUCAGAGUAAAACAAUCUAAAAUGUGGCCCUUCCCAUUGAGUAACCUGUGACCUUAUAGCAAUUGAACUAUUGGCUGCAUUACUGUAAGUUAAUAACCUAUUUUACAGAAUGGAGCCUACAGACUCUGUUUUAAAUGGCUGUGCUUUUUUUUUUUUUUUUUAAACAACAUUCCUGCAGAAUUCCCUGGAGUGAGACUCAGGACAAUAUUAAAUCCAAUGAAUCACGCAGCCUUCAGGAGGGCAGGGCAGCAUACGGCAGAGCAGCACUGAAUGAUGGCUUGGCUUGGUGUCCCUGGUGGCAGCAGUGGCCACACAGGCACCAUGUUCUCAUUCAACAAAGACUCAGUUUUGACAUGAGGACUGUGAACAUCUCCAGAACAGAAGACAUUUGGAAGAGCUCAUGUCCAUUGGUAUCUGAAACUUGGCUGCUCAUGUGGUCUCCAGAAAUACCUUGUAUCCUGCUGUGAUCCUCAGCAACACCAAUUACAUGGAAAAGAACCAACAAUGUGAAGAAACAUGAAUAUGGUGUUCAUUUUCAAACUGAAAAAGGAAAUAAUUGCAGUUACUAUUUACAGUAUCUGGCUUUUCAGGCUUCAUGCUACACGCAGCUAACUCUUUGUCAAACAAUUAAUUUUGUUUAAAAUAAAUAAGUUUAUAUAUUUAAGGUCAUGUUUCAGAAGUCAAACCAUAACCAUGGUUUUUAUUGAGUCAUAAAAUGAGUUGGGGAAAAGGCAAUGCAUCUAAAACAACUCUUGAGAUCCUCCACGAAGAAUUUUAAGUAUCAGUGUAAAUUAAAAGCAGAUUCACAGAGUGUUCUAUGAAACAGAGCUCCCUAUUAACUUGAGGGUGCCAGAUUGGAUCAUUCCUCAGAUUUCUCAUGGCUUUUAAAUGCAAUAAGUACAAGCCAGGUGGAUUAUCAAAGGGAUCUGUGGCCAGUAUGGCAUUAGUGUUCCAGUGUGAUUUAAGCACAUACAUCACGACUGAUUUUUUUUUAGUGGUUAAAACAUACAAGUGACAAUGUGCCAACAAACUUUUCUCAAACCAUACCAUAUAUUGUUGGUUUAGCAGAGGUUCCAAUUCAUAGCAAUAAGUUUUGUGCCUUUUAUUCUGAAUUUCACAGUCUUUUAAAAAACUUUUUUAUUUUUUAAAUGUCUCUGUAAUUUUUGUUUGUUUAAUGCUUCUUAAAAUUAUUUACUUAUUAUUAUUAUAAUACUUUAAGUUCUGGGGUACAUGUACACACGUAGAACUACUAACAAACUUUCACAGUCUUUUAAGAAAGCGCCUUGACUGAUAACUGGCUGAAAGACCAUAAAUGAAAUCAAUGAAAACUAAUAUCAAUGAAAAUAAACCUAGUCAAGGCGAUGGCCGCUGGAAUAACAGGAUCCCGAAGUUAAGAUUUAUUUAGCAUGCUGCUUCUUUCUCAGAAAUCAAAAGAGUAAACACACAUCAAGUUAAGUACGUGAUCCCUAAACCAACUAUAUCUGACAAUUCUUGGCUAAAAACUUGUAGAUACACUUUCAAGAAGUGGAAAAAUGGAAGAAAAUGAUAUCCCUAAACUAACAAAUGAGAAAAUAGUUAACAUGAGGCCUUAUCCUUUUGGUGGCCAGUGGUUGUCCCUGGUUGCAGACUGUGUGCACAGGGAAGGACAGGGCCUCUUUCAUGUUAUGAGGGGGCACUGAGCCACCGUGGGAAGGAAGGAACUCAGAUUAUCUCCUGUUAACUAGAUGAAGGAAAAAUUGUUUUAAUUAGGGACGUCUCCCAGCUCCCUUCCUGAACCCUAGCAUUUAUCUACUGGUAAAAUAGGGCUAGGCACCAUUGAAGAAUGUGGGAUGGAGCUCCCCAUAAGUUGAAAGUAGUCAGGCUUAGGGACUGAUGAUGGGAGGAACUGGACUGGCCUCGAUGCUGGAGUAUUGCAUGGAGAGAGAGCAGGUACUUAGCCACCCUUCUGUUUCAAAGCUGGAGCUACUUGGGUUGUAUCACAUUUGCAUUCUAAUAGUCUACCAGCUAAUAGGCCUCCAGCCUUGAGGAAGUCAAGGAGGAAAAGGAGAAAGAUGGGAUUUCUUAAUGCUGAUGAAGUCUUUAUUCCAGUUACAGAGAGAUGGAACUGGUGGAUUUAAUUCUUGUUGAAAUAUGUGUCGUUGCAUCUUACCUACGAAAUCAGGAUCUCCAUCUCUUUUUGUAAAUUCAAAAUGGUCUCCAACAUACAACGAUCAUAAACUAUACUUAGAUCUGUACUGCUUGAUUAAAUUGUGCUUUACUGCCACAAAAGGGCCAUCAGAAGGCAUUUGCAUGGGUGGGAACCUGGGAGCUUCCUCACUGGGCUGAAAGGUAAGUGACUAGAGUCACUGGAGUGUUGGGUCUCAAUUCCUUCUUUCUCUACUCCUCCACUUGUCCUAUGUUUGAAGCCGAGGAUAAGAACAGCAAUGCUGUUACCCAGGCACUAGUGUAAAUAAAACCAAGCUAGAAAUGACGGAGCAGGAGGAAAUACUUGUGAUAUUCCACAAAUACCACCACUGCUAGUAGUGAGAGAAAAGUACUUCGACAGGAAAACAAGAAGCCAGUGAGCCAUUCUUAAGGGGAAUCCUAAGAGCACGGACGCCAUUCUUCUCCCACUUAGGAUGUCUUGCUGUAUGAGUGCAUGGAGGCACCUGGACUUCUCUAGAGCCAGAAUUCGGAGAAUCUUUUGCUUUAUUUGAGUUGACCAUGAGGCAGUUUUCCUGUAAAUGUGACUGACUUAAGUAAAUCAAAUACAAAACAAAAAUCAGCUUUAGGUCCCAUGAGGAACUUCCAGAAAUACCCAAAGUCUAGUUAGUCACUGAAGAACAAGUAUAAUUCCUAAUGGCAAUGCUUCCUACAGCAUUCUGUGUAAAUCUGGAACCCCAAGAUAUUAACAGGUUAUUUUUAAGAAAGGGGUUUUUGUUAAUUUGGGAAACACUGGAUAAAAUGAAGUGACAGUAUUUGAGAGCACUGAAAUGAAAUCUUUCCCUGCUAUGAUUCUGAGCUGCAGGUUCUCCUCUGGCUCCCACCAUGAGAUAGCUGGCAGGACCUCUGCAGUGGCCACAGGUCAGGAGUGGAGGAGCUGAGGAGGUGGCAUGUAUAAGGUCUCCAUGAUCAGGGAGGGUCAGAAGAAAUCAAAGGUCUCAUCCUGGUGUUUCUCCCACGUGGAGCUCUGUGGGGGCAGGGUGGGGGACAUGACAGGAAUAGCAAAAUGGGUGUAAGGUGCCCAAGAACUUUGGGGCUAGCUGCUCAACUUCCAUGUGUAGCUUGCGGAAGGCUGCAGGCUUAUAGGAGAAACCUGUGUUCCGCUCAGCUCUGUGUCCAGAGGGAAGAAAAAUUAUGAGACAAAUGGGACUGUUUCACAUUUUGGCAAACAUCUUGAAUGCCCGGCUUGACUGAAGGCAACUGGGUUUUCUUAUCUGCUUCUGCACUGAGUCUUUUGAAAUACCUAACCUCAUGCAGGCUCUGGAAAACCCUGCUGCACAUAAUGCUAAUGUCUUAGUAUUAUCAUGCAGGUAAUUUUGAGAUUCUGGAUCCCUGAAAACGCCUCAGGGACUCCCGGACUUCACUUUGAGAAUCAAUAUGACAGUGACUGGGGUUGAAACAAAGAGACAACAGGGCCUUCACAACUGGACAGCCAGGGUCUGGACUCCUUGGGGGACCAGCUUGAGUCUCAAUAGUCUAGCCAAAGCCACAGAAGUCAGCAUAACAACUGUGCAAGACAGGCCAGUGAGUGUCCAUUGGACACUGUGGGAGGCCAAGAGCCCUUCCUCCUGAGCCAGGGGGCACCAUGGAGAGGGAUGUGGGGAAGCAGGGAGGCAGGAAUUUGACUCAAUGGGCACCUCAAAGACUGUGUCAUCCAAGUCACUGAACAUCUUUGGCAGGGCUAUGCAUCGACUGAACAUUUAAACCCCAAUUUCUUUUUAAUCAGAAGAAACUGAGCUGGUUCACUUUAAGAAACAGACUGGCAGUCCCUCAAAAUAUUGAAUAGCGUUAUCAUACAACGAGCAGUUCUGCUCCUAGAGAUAUACCCAAGAGAAGUAAAAACGUUUGUCCACACAAAAACGUGUACACAAAUGUUCAGAGCAACGUUACUCAUAAGAGUCAAAAGGUGGGAAUGCUCCAAACGCACAUCAAGUGAUGAAUGGAUAAACGGAGGUUGGUAAAUCCAUGGAGUUGAAUAUUAGCCACAAAAAGGAAUGAGGCAAACACAUGCUGCAAGGAAGAUGAACAGGAAACACUACACUUAGUGAGAGCGUCACAAAGACCACAUGUUGUAUGACGGAAUUAUCUGAAAUGUCCAGAAUAGGUAAAGCUGUAGAAACACGAUGGUAUUUAUCAGGGUCUGGAGGGCUGGGGAGGAAGGAGGGACUGCCGAUGGCCAUGAAGUCUCUCUAUGGGGUGAUAAAACUAUUCGAAAAUUAGUUAUGGCAAUGGUUGCACGACUCUGUGAAUAUAUUAAAAACCACUGAAUCGGACACUUACGGCUACAUUUUGUAGUAUGUAAAUUAUAUCUGUAUCUUCUAUUAAAAACAUUUUGUCCUUACUUUAUCAAAAUAGGACUUGAGAAUUCAAUAAAAGACUUGAGUUCUCACUAAUUAAGUUUAAUACAUUUUACUGUGAGAUCAGAUCAGUUUUGAAAAUUAAAAUGCUGUAUUAAAAAUAAUGCUACCUUUUUCUUGCAAAUUCCACCCCCGAAAAAAAAUUAAUCAAUAUUUAUUCCUAUAGGACUUCUCAGAGGUUUUACGCAUAUGUCAUUAUGUCCGGUGAG
ensembl:lncRNA